rnacentral:rRNA from 1 species
GACGAACGCUGGCGGCGUGCUUAACACAUGCAAGUCGAACGGCGAUGCUCCAGCUUGCUGGAGUGGAUCAGUGGCGAACGGGUGAGUAUCACGUGAGCAACCUGCCCCAGUCUCUGGAAUAAGCGCUGGAAACGGCGUCUAAUACUGGAUACGAAACUGGCUCGCAUUGGAAUGGGUUGGAAAGUUUUGCGGUUUGGGUUGGGCUCGCGGCCUAUGAGCUUGUUGGUGAGGGAAUGGCUCACCAAGGCGACGACGGGUAGCCGGCCUGGGAGGGGGAACGGGCACAAGAGGACUACGAGACGGACCAGUGGCGAACGGGAGGCAGCGGUGGGAAGUAUUGCACAGUGGUCGAGAGCCUGAUGCAGCGACGCCGGGUGAGGAAUGACGGCCUUCGGGGUAAAAACCUCUUUCAGCAGAGAAGAAGCGAUAGUGACGGUACCUGCAGAAGAAGCACCGGCUAACUACGUG